rnacentral:rRNA from 1 species
UACGUAGGGUGCGAGCGUUAAUCGGAAUUACUGGGCGUAAAGCGUGCGCAGGCGGUCUGUUAAGACAGAUGUGAAAUCCCCGGGCUUAACCUGGGAACUGCAUUUGUGACUGGCAGGCUAGAGUAUGGCAGAGGGGGGUAGAAUUCCACGUGUAGCAGUGAAACGCGUAGAGAUGUGGGAGGAAUACCGAUGGCGAAGGCAGCCCCCUGGGCCAAUACUGACGCUCAUGCACGAA